GAUGAACGCUGGCGGCGUGCCUAACACAUGCAAGUCGAGCGAAGCGCUUAAAUUAGAUUUCUUCGGAAUGACGAUUUUUGUGACUGAGCGGCGGACGGGUGAGUAACGCGUGGGUAACCUGCCUCAUACAGGGGGAUAACAGUUAGAAAUGACUGCUAAUACCGCAUAAGACCCCAGCUUCGCAUGAAGCGGUGGUAAAAACUCCGGUGGUAUGAGAUGGACCCGCGUCUGAUUAGCUAGUUGGUAAGGUAACGGCUUACCAAGGCGACGAUCAGUAGCCGACCUGAGAGGGGGACCGGCCACAUUGGGACUGAGACACGGCCCAGACUCCUACGGGAGGCAGCAGUGGGGAAUAUUGCACAAUGGGGGAAACCCUGAUGCAGCGACGCCGCGUGAAGGAUGAAGUAUUUCGGUAUGUAAACUUCUAUCAGCAGGGAAGAAAGGGACGGUACCUGACUAAGAAGCCCCGGCUAACUACGU
rnacentral:rRNA from 1 species